GAAUAUUGGACAAUGGGCGCAAGCCUGAUCCAGCCAUGCCGCGUGAGUGAUGAAGGCCCUAGGGUUGUAAAGCUCUUUCACCGGUGAAGAUAAUGACGGUAACCGGAGAAGAAGCCCCGGCUAACUUCGUGCCAGCAGCCGCGGUAAUACGAAGGGGGCUAGCGUUGUUCGGAUUUACUGGGCGUAAAGCGCACGUAGGCGGAUUGGUCAGUUAGGGGUGAAAUCCCAGGGCUUAACCCUGGAACUGCCUUUAAUACUGCCAGUCUUGAGUAUGGAAGAGGUGAGUGGAAUUGCGAGUGUAGAGGUGAAAUUCGUAGAUAUUCGCAGGAACACCAGUGGCGAAGGCGGCUCACUGGUCCAUUACUGACGCUGAGGUGCGAAAGCGUGGGGAGCAAACA
rnacentral:rRNA from 1 species